AGUCGAGCGGUAGAGAGAAGCUUGCUUCUCUUGAGAGCGGCGGACGGGUGAGUAAUGCCUAGGAAUCUGCCUGGUAGUGGGGGAUAACGUUCGGAAACGGACGCUAAUACCGCAUACGUCCUACGGGAGAAAGCAGGGGACCUUCGGGCCUUGCGCUAUCAGAUGAGCCUAGGUCGGAUUAGCUAGUUGGUGAGGUAAUGGCUCACCAAGGCGACGAUCCGUAACUGGUCUGAGAGGAUGAUCAGUCACACUGGAACUGAGACACGGUCCAGACUCCUACGGGAGGCAGCAGUGGGGAAUAUUGGACAAUGGGCGAAAGCCUGAUCCAGCCAUGCCGCGUGUGUGAAGAAGGUCUUCGGAUUGUAAAGCACUUUAAGUUGGGAGGAAGGGUUGUAGAUUAAUACUCUGCAAUUUUGACGUUACCGACAGAAUAAGCACCGGCUAACUCUGUGCCAGCAGCCGCGGUAAUACAGAGGGUGCAAGCGUUAAUCGGAAUUACUGGGCGUAAAGCGCGCGUAGGUGGUUUGUUAAGUUGGAUGUGAAAUCCCCGGGCUCAACCUGGGAACUGCAUUCAAAACUGACUGACUAGAGUAUGGUAGAGGGUG
rnacentral:rRNA from 1 species